rnacentral:rRNA from 1 species
UAAGCUAUACAAGGGUAUAUUGAAAUUUUGGAUUUAAAGUAUAUUCUGCCCCCUGAUUAAUCUAUUAAAGGGCCGCAGUAGCCUGACUGUGCUAAGGUAGCAUAAUCAUUAGGUUCUUAAUUGGGAUCUGGAAUGAAGGAAUGAAUAAGGAGUAGCUGUCUACCAACAUAGUUUGAAAUUAAAUUUUAGUAAGAAUGCUAGAGUACUUUUAGUGGGACGAUAAGAACCUAAAACUGCACUAAUUCCGAGUAAAAAUUAAAUUUACUUUUAUUAGANGGAUUAGUUUUUUCUGGGGCCGGAGGNAAAUCAACUUCGUUGAUUUUNUUUUUUUUUGGAUCCAUCUUUGGUGAAGUAAGAUUAAGUUACUUUAGGGAUAACAGCAUAAUAUACCUAUGGAGUUCUAAUCGAAGGGUAUGGUUGUGACCUCGAUGUUGAAUUAACCUUAUUUUAAGGCGAAGAAGCUUUAAGAGUUAGUCUGUUCGACUAUUGAAGGGUUACGUGAUUUGAGUUCAAACCGGUGUGAGCCAGGUUGGUUUCUAUCUAUUGGGUUUAGAAAGCCUUUUAGUACGAAAGGACCAAAGGCUUUAGAGUUUCUAUCUAAGGAUUUUAUUGACCUCUUUUAGGUAUC